rnacentral:rRNA from 1 species
CUCCAGACUCCUACGGGAGGCAGCAGUGAGGAAUAUUGGUCAAUGGGCUUACGCCUGAACCAGCCAAGUCGCGUGAGGGAAGACUGCCCUAUGGGUUGUAAACCUCUUUUGUCAGGGAGCAACGCCGGCUACGUGUAGCCGGACUGAGAGUACCUGAAGAAAAAGCAUCGGCUAACUCCGUGCCAGCAGCCGCGGUAAUACGGAGGAUGCGAGCGUUAUCCGGAUUUAUUGGGUUUAAAGGGUGCGUAGGCGGAAUGCCAAGUCAGGGGUAAAAUCGCGGGGCCCAACCCCGCUCCGCCGUUGAAACUGCGUUUCUUGAGUGGGCGAGAAGUACGCGGAAUGCGUGGUGUAGCGGUGAAAUGCAUAGAUAUCACGCAGAACUCCGAUUGCGAAGGCAGCAUACCGGCGCUCAACUGACGCUCAUGCACGAAAGUGUGGGUAUCGAACAGGAUUAGAUACCCCCGUACGC